GACGAACGCUGGCGGCGUGCCUAAUACAUGCAAGUAGGACGCAGUUGCGAACGGGUGAGUAACGCGUAGGUAACUAGCUAUUAGAGGGGGAUAAAUAUUGGAAACGAUAGCUAAUAACGCAUACUAGUAGAUGGACCUAGGUUGUAUUAGCUAGGAGGUAGGGUAAUGGCCUACCUAGGCAACGAUACAUGGCCGACUUGAGAGGGGGAUCGGCCAAACUGGGACUGUGACACGGCCCAGACUCCUACGGGAGGGAGCAGUAGGGAAUCUUCGGCAAUGGGGGGAACCCUGACCGAGCAACGGCGCGGGAGUGAAGAAGGGUUUCGGAUCGGAAAGCUCUGUUGUUAAGGAAGCGGUACUUAACCAGAAAGGGACGGCUAACUACGUGCCAGCAGCCGCGGUAAUAC
rnacentral:rRNA from 1 species